CCUACGGGUGGCUGCAGUGAGGAAUAUUGGUCAAUGGGCGGGAGCCUGAACCAGCCAAGCCGCGUGAGGGAAGAAGGUACAGCGUAUCGUAAACCUCUUUUGUCAGGGAACAAAGGCGGGGACUAGUCCCCGGCUGCGGGUACCUGAAGAAAAAGCAUCGGCUAACUCCGUGCCAGCAGCCGCGGUAAUACGGAGGAUGCGAGCGUUAUCCGGAUUUAUUGGGUUUAAAGGGAGUGUAGGCGGGUUAGUAAGAUAGUGGUGAAAUCCCAGAGCUUAACUUUGGAAUUGCCAUUAUAACUAUUAGAAGAGGAUUACAGAGAGGAUAGUGGAAUACCCAGUGUAGAGGUGAAAUUCGUAGAUAUUGGGUAGAACACCAGUGGCGAAGGCGACGAUCUGGCUGUAAAUUGACGCUGAGGCUCGAAAGCAUGGGGAUCAAACAGGAUUAGAUACCCCGGUAGUC
rnacentral:rRNA from 1 species